AUCUGGGCGGCGGAAUUCAGGAUGGUUGGCGGGUCUCGCGCCCGUCAGCCGUUUGAUAUUUCCGUCGCCGUGUCAGACGUCGCGACCUGUUCGUCGCCGGUCCUUGCUCGGAGGAAUCGCGAUCGAGUUCGUUGCGGGUGCGUUUCGGCGUAUUCCGCGGUGAAGACGCGUCUCUCUGGCUGGCGACAGACAGUAAGCAACGGUGUCCGGCGUCGUGUCUCGCACUCGGCGUCGGUACCGGUCAGCGACGAUUUCUUCGGGCCUCUUUCCGACCCGUCUUGAAACACGGACCAAGGAGUCUAACAUGCGCGCGAGUCGCGGGGUUUCGAGCGUACUACGGUGCGCUCGUUACUUCCGAAACCCGUACGUUGAAGGCGUAAUGAAAGUGAACAGGGAAGAUGGCGUUCCGAGUCCACGUACCGUGAUCGAGUAUCGCGGCCGGACGUCCGCACUCCCGGGGCGUCUCAAUGGUUCGACGCGGAUGCGGACGAUCGUCUCUCGGGGCGGUCGUCGGUCUGCGCCGGUCCGA
rnacentral:rRNA from 1 species